rnacentral:rRNA from 1 species
CAGACGCCGCGGGAAUACCGAGGGUGCGAGCGUUAAUCGGAUUUACUGGGCGUAAAGCGUGCGUAGGCGGCUUCUUAAGUCGGAUGUGAAAUCCCUGAGCUUAACUUAGGAAUUGCAUUCGAUACUGGGAAGCUAGAGUAUGGGAGAGGAUGGUAGAAUUCCAGGUGUAGCGGUGAAAUGCGUAGAGAUCUGGAGGAAUACCGAUGGCGAAGGCAGCCAUCUGGCCUAAUACUGACGCUGAGGUACGAAAGCAUGGGGAGCAAACAGGAUUAGAUACCCGUGUAGUCCCUGUCUCUUAUAC